rnacentral:rRNA from 1 species
AUACAUGCAAGUCGAACGAGUUCUGAUUAUUGAAAGGUGCUUGCAUCUUGAUUUAAUUUUGAACGAGUGGCGGACGGGUGAGUAACACGUGGGUAACCUGCCCUUAAGUGGGGGAUAACAUUUGGAAACAGAUGCUAAUACCGCAUAAAUCCAAGAACCGCAUGGUUCUUGGCUGAAAGAUGGCGUAAGCUAUCGCUUUUGGAUGGACCCGCGGCGUAUUAGCUAGUUGGUGAGGUAACGGCUCACCAAGGCAAUGAUACGUAGCCGAACUGAGAGGUUGAUCGGCCACAUUGGGACUGAGACACGGCCCAAACUCCUACGGGAGGCAGCAGUAGGGAAUCUUCCACAAUGGACGCAAGUCUGAUGGAGCAACGCCGCGUGAGUGAAGAAGGCUUUCGGGUCGUAAAACUCUGUUGUUGGAGAAGAAUGGUCGGCAGAGUAACUGUUGUCGGCGUGACGGUAUCCAACCAGAAAGCCACGGCUAACUACGUGCCAGCAGCCGCGGUAAUACGUAGGUGGCAAGCGUUAUCCGGAUUUAUUGGGCGUAAAGCGAGCGCAGGCGGUUUUUUAAGUCUGAUGUGAAAGCCCUCGGCUUAACCGAGGAAGUGCAUCGGAAACUGGGAAACUUGAGUGCAGAAGAGGACAGUGGAACUCCAUGUGUAGCGGUGAAAUGCGUAGAUAUAUGGAAGAACACCAGUGGCGAAGGCGGCUGUCUGGUCUGUAACUGACGCUGAGGCUCGAAAGCAUGGGUAGCGAACAGGAUUAGAUACCCUGGUAGUCCAUGCCGUAAACGAUGAAUGCUAGGUGUUGGAGGGUUUCCGCCCUUCAGUGCCGCAGCUAACGCAUUAAGCAUUCCGCCUGGGGAGUACGACCGCAAGGUUGAAACUCAAAGGAAUUGACGGGGGCCCGCACAAGCGGUGGAGCAUGUGGUUUAAUUCGAAGCAACGCGAAGAACCUUACCAGGUCUUGACAUCUUUUGAUCACCUGAGAGAUCAGGUUUCCCCUUCGGGGGCAAAAUGACAGGUGGUGCAUGGUUGUCGUCAGCUCGUGUCGUGAGAUGUUGGGUUAAGUCCCGCAACGAGCGCAACCCUUAUGACUAGUUGCCAGCAUUUAGUUGGGCACUCUAGUAAGACUGCCGGUGACAAACCGGAGGAAGGUGGGGAUGACGUCAAAUCAUCAUGCCCCUUAUGACCUGGGCUACACACGUGCUACAAUGGAUGGUACAACGAGUUGCGAGACCGCGAGGUCAAGCUAAUCUCUUAAAGCCAUUCUCAGUUCGGACUGUAGGCUGCAACUCGCCUACACGAAGUCGGAAUCGCUAGUAAUCGCGGAUCAGCACGCCGCGGUGAAUACGUUCCCGGGCCUUGUACACACCGCCCGUCACACCGAUGAGAGUUUGUAACACCCGAAGCCGGUGGCGUAACCCUUUUAGGGAGCGAGC